GCUGUGGCGCAUCAUUCCAUGCAUGAGCACAGAGAUGAUUAAAAGCUGCGGUGUCCUCGCAUGACUCCAGAGAAUGUUCUCUGCUCUUGCUUUCAUUUUAGUUCCAUUCUGCUUGCAGCGCGUUCUGUCUGCAAAUAGUUAGACAACAAUAAAUGGAGUGUGCCGUCACCAGAGGAGUGCGUGUCCUUUUUAAACCACAGGGCGCACCGUGUGAUGGAAUUAGCCAAUAAAAGACAGACAGCAGCAUUUAUAUUGAGGGACCAGGAAGCGGUGUCUUAACUUUUAUCUCUGCAAAGAAUCCACCCAAGGACGUUGCAGUGCUUCAACAAAGAUGAUGCAUUUGCUUUUGAAGCCUGAUUAGAGUUGUCUGUGACAACCAGGUCAUCAUGUGUGAAGGCCACCCACAGAAAAAAAAAAAAAAGACCUCACAAAAGAGCGCCACUUCAUCUUAUGUCUGAAUUUAUUACCUCUCACUGGAUGCCUAUUUUUCACCCGCACGACUGGAGCCAUCGCAUCUAUGAUGGAGUGGGCUUCCAGCGACUCUGAUGACUCAUUUGCCCCACAGACGUCAUCCUAUUCAAGGCAGGUGACUUUGGAGUCUUGCGCGACAUCAUUAGAGUGCCUUCCUUGAAUGCUUUGAAAUACACUCAGUUGCCACAAGAUUCAAUUUACAAUGCAAUCAGCUCCAAAAGAUACAUCAAACAUUUUGCUGUGACAAAUAUCAUUUACAUACGGCAUGCAAAAAAACAAAAACAAAAUAGGGCUCAUAUUGUCACCAAAAUUAAUGUGCAUCUCUAACUCAUGCUCACUUCAACCUCUACAAAUAUUAAAAUAAUUGUUCUAAUAUUUUGGAUCUUAUGGAGUAAAACUGGAUUUUUAAUCUGGAUUGGAUCAGGAUUGUGCACUUGAAGCAAUGUAAACAGAACAUGAAACAUCCAUUCAGACUGUCCUCAUCAGGAUCGCAGGCGAGUUGGACAAACAAGCAAUCACUUUCCCAUUGACACAGAUGAACAAUCCUGAAUCAACCUAAUCAGCAUUUUUUGGAAUGUGGUGAAAACUGGACUAACCAGACAAAUUUAUGCUAGGUUGGAGUUGAGAUUCAAACCUGCUACCUUUUACCCAUGAGGCAUAGAGACAGAGACGAGCACUAAACCACAUUCUUCCCCAUUAAACAUAUCCAGAUGUCACAGUCUGAGCUCAUCUGAUUUGUUAUACAGCACCUUGUGGGAUCUAAUCAUCUUUGUGAAGGCAGAACUUUUACCACAACAGUGUUUACCCUCAUCACAUUGACUUUUAUGUCCCCGGGAGCUGCGAACAAAGAAGCUGCUUCUAAUUCCGUCCUUCAUAAUAUUUGUCUCGGCUGCGUCCUCUUAGUCACUGUGCAUAUUUUUCACUCCUCCAAUCAAGCGGAGUGGGAAUUGACUGUGCUGAUCUAGUCCGCUGUGAUCAUCCUCAUCAUCUCCAGAUGGGAGAAGGCUUCCCAUGUGUCCUGCCACGCAGUUCACUGAGGCCGGUUGCCAUGGAGGAAACUCCCAAGUCUGGGAUGCUACUUAUAGUGUCACUCUGUGGGAGUUUAUUUACUUACUAUACAGACUGUGCAUUGGCGGAGGAGAAUCUGCUCACUUGGCUCUGUAUGACAUAGAAUCAUUAUGUAAUUACAGUAUGAGCUUGUUUUCCCACCCACUAUCUUUAGCAGUGGUCACAAACUUAUUUCACCAAAAUUAGCGUCUGCUAUCAGCAGAAGAAACUUUUAAUUUUUGAAAAUUUCAUCUUGGAGGAUUAGUUUUGACUCAGAAAGCCCCCCUACCCUUAAUCCCCUCCACCCCCAAUACUUUGGAUAUAAGACUAUAAAUGGUUGUGUUACCGUGGCAACACAUAUGGUCUGUCUGGACGAUGUCAAGAUUUAAUUUUACCCUGCUAAUGACUUCUCAGUAUACUUGUGUCCAUUUUCUACCACGGUUUCAUCUGUGGGCGUUGUUUGCGCUUGGUAAUGUGGUGCACGCAACCCUGGACUUUUGACAAGACCCUGUUGCAUUUAGAGACGACGUGCUACGCUCGUUCAUUUCCAUCCUGUCCGAAUGCAGCAGUGGUGUAAUUUUAGCACAUAAUGAAAAUUAAAAAAAACAUAAUUUUCUCCUCCGAUGACCGCUCUUGUUACAAAAAGAACAUGCCUGGAUUGUUCUCAAGUGUGCAAGAAGUGUU